UAACCAUUUUUGCCUUGAAAUAUUUCUUUAGAAUUGCGAACUUGAAGGUAUAGAGAAGUGAGAAGAAUUUAGAGCUGGAAGUUCUAGAACAUCUCAUUCCUUGGCCUCCUUUAUAGAUGAGCGAAAAGAGGACUGCUUCUCCUAGGAACCUUGGAAUGCAGAUUCUGGUUCAGGAGGUCUGGGGAGGGGCGUGGCAGUCUGCAUUUCUACCAAGCCCCCAGAGGAUGCUGACCCACAGACCACUCAUUUGAGUAUCAAGGAAGUAGACCAAGUGGCUAGCUACAGCUUACACAGCUAGUUGAUGGAGCCUGGACAAGCGGGUACUGCCCUCCCUUCUGCAGAGGAAGAAUUCAGGCUUCCAGCAGCCAAGGGCUUGCUUGCGUGCGGCUGUGUCAGGACUGCAAUUCAAGCCCCUAGUUUCUUGUUCAGGGCUUUCUUCACUCCACGAAGACCAUCAUUCUAACAUCCUACAAAUGUCCGGUGCAAAUGUCUGUGUGAAAUAUAUGCUCUUUUCUGUCUGUUUACUUCAGACUCUGGGGAGAGAUCGGAGAGACAUUAGUAACUUCUUUUUUCUUUCCUCAAGUCCCUGUGACGAAAUGACUGUUUCUGCAGUGCUUGUUUUCUGGGCCCUGGAAAGAUUCCAAAGCUGUCACUGUGUUUUCCAUCUGGCACUUUUUCAAGAAUCUCUCUGCUGCUUCCUGCAGCCUGGAGGUCGUCCUGCAGAGGCCCCUCUACCACCCCUGACAGGCUGGUGGGGCAGGACAUAGGCAUCACGGAGCUGUGCAAUAGGCAGGAACAGCUUGACGAGGGGGCGGGCGCCCCAUUGCGUGCAAACUCACUCCAAGACGGGGAAGCGGCCCCCAGAGACAUGGUUUUCAAAAGUAGAAAACUACCUGCUAAUUUGUUACGGAAACUUUAAGUAUUGAAUGAAUCUAGUGAUUUUUUAAAAUAUAAUUCAACCUAUGGGAAAAAAUCCAGCUUGACUUUCUUGAAACACUCACGGGUCACACUAUUUGGAAAGCAACACUGAAAAGAAACUUUGGAACUUCCAAGGGAAUGUGGAUGGUGAGUGAGCCUCUGCAUUACAGAGUUUGAGCCGUCCCACCUCCCCAAGAACGCUCAGGACCUCAAAGACCCAGCCAGAAAAGACCAAAGAGAUGAUGGAAGUCACAGCUUUGCAGAAACUUCAGAAAAUUUGUGUUUACAAAAGGGUUUGCAAUAAAAGCUGCUGCUCACGUUUUCCUUCUGAAAUAGGUCAAGGAAGUGAAACUCUGGAAGGUAACUCACAGGUGCAGGAUUCCUCUGGACCUGUAAGAAGCUGACGGGCAUUGUGGCCACCGUACGAUGGCGUAGGGGACCUGGCAUUUCCCAGAUUUCUUCAGGUAUGCGAUACUUCCUGCUCAUUCAGCCAAUGUGGUAAAUACCAUCUGACCAAUAGCAAAGGGAAAAAGAGUACACAGCAGCUUCUUCUCUAGCUCAUCGGGAGGAAAAGAGCAAAGAGGAAGGAAAAGAAAGAGCAUGGCCUGGUCCAAAUUUUGGGACAGUUACAUUAAACAAAAGGAUCAGAAAAUGGAAAUGUAUUCCUUUGAAAUGACUGUAAUCGGCUGAAUGUUGAGGCUGGGAGCAGAGUAAUGAUGGAGAACAAGGUGGAUGAGAGUGUUAAUUUUCUCUGAUGAUGAAGGGUAUAUGGUCACACUUACAAGAGGAGAUGCAGACAUCACAGAGGAGCUGAUUUUCAAGAGACCCACUCUGCUUGCUGGGGUCCAUUUUCCGGAUGGUUGGUUGGCAUGGAGGAGGCAGGAAUCACAGUGAGCCCACGUCCUCUCCAAGGCAGGCACGCAGGAGACGUGUGAUCCAAGCAAAGCCAGCAAAGUUUGAAGUACGUAAUAAUAAAACUGAAAGUGAUCAAGAGAAUUUGUUGGCUACAGAUAUAUUCUGACUUCAGGAUAAUUUCAGUUCCACUGUUUGGUAAUAUCACCAGGAAUUGUUUUAUCUUAGACUUUGGGCUGCCUUGCUCUCGUAUUUUGACUGCUUCUUAAAAUGCCCCUCCACGUCCCAAGAUAACUACCAGCACCUUCUGGAAUUCAUGCAGCCUCAUUCAUUAUAAACAGAAAAGACUAUCUUUGUCCCCAAGUAGGGAAAACAUUGCUUCACCAAACAUAUGUUAAGAUCUUAUUCUUUGCCAAGUACUAGUGACGCAGAAAUGAGUCAGACGUGAUUGCUUAAAUGGGAAAGCUCGGAGUCAUCAUCUGGACAUCCACAAUAUUCCUAUUUCCUUCUGCGUAAAGAUUGUUUUUAAAAAUGCUCGUAUUCUGCGAUUUAUGAAGUGUGUUGAUGAGGUAUGUUUAUGAGGUGUGUUGAGUAACUGAUGUAGAACCGGCCCCCGUCCUUCCUUACCUGGGCUCCUACGUCCACGAACAUGAGAUGUCACACUUUUCUUUAGUCAUUCUCCCUGCUUUGAAAACCCUUUCCUUCCUUCUCCACCAGGCCGAGUUUUAACGUUUCUUCAAAGCCCUCCAGGGCAUCUUUCUAGGGCGUAUCAAGAAAUGAGAUCCGCGGGCAAGUAAGUGACUGGGACGACUUCUCCCCGGCUAUGGGGUCAUUGCUUAAGAGCUAGACUUGCUGGAUGUCACCUCCACAAGUUCGUCCCCUCCUUUGUGUCCCCGUAGCACUUGGUUUACAUGGUCAGUAUGACACUCAGAUGUACAUACACGACUAACUACAACACGGUGCGGCUACUCUCCCACUUGACUUGUUUCUGAGGAUAAGGACACUCGAUUAUUCACCUUUGAGGUUCAGUCUUCUGGAUCAUACUGGACGUGUGUGGGACAGAAUGCUGACUGCAUAACCAGUGUCAAUGGCCCCUUCUUCUUAAGAACAGACCCACGUUGGGUAUGUCAUUAUGCUUAGUUUAAAAACCAUGUCUCCCAUUCUCCCUUCCACAUAAAAGUGAUGAAUGUGCAAGUGGAGGGUUUUGGACAGGACUUCCAGGACAAUUCUUUAAAAGGGGCUUACUCAACUGAGAGCCGAUCCUCCUUCUCCCAUUCCUUUGUCUUUCUGUUCAGAAUUCAAACGUGAUGGUUGACGUGCUAGCAGCCAUCUUGUGACCAUGAGUCAACCUUGAAGAUGUAAGCCCUGUGCCAAGGUUGGUGAGCAGGAACAAGAAAGUGCAGGAAGACGGGUCAGUCAUGUAGCUCCGACUGUACUGCUGGGCCAUCUACCCCUGGACAUUUUUAAUAACUCUCUAGAAGCAAUAAGAGUUGACUCCAUGGUGUAAGAGACUGAGUGAUAAGGAAAAGAUUUUCCACAUAGCCUUGUGAUGGAGUAACCAAAAUGACCUCUAAGGUUUGCCAGAAAAAAGCUAGACCUGCGAAGAAAGGAACGCAUUUUGGGCGGCUCCCCCGUGCUCCUCGGGGCCACAAGUACUCGAGGAAGUGACUGUUCCCUGGGUGGUGGCCAGACGCUCGGCUCCCAGGAGUCCGGCCGCCCUGAGGGCGGGGCCGGGAGGUGGAUGGACCGGAAGACCGCGCGUCUAGGGAGACUGAGUCACGUCCGGGUCAGAGCACGCGGCUUGACAGCCGGGGGAACGAAAUGCUGGUCUGGGGCGGAAUUUGAACUUUAGGUGGUUAAUUUCUACAGGCAAGAUCUCUGCUCCAUCUCGCGUCCUAAGAAAGGAGGGGUGUGUUUCUAAGCACAUACAGGCGCUCACACACUUUGCUGAUGUAUAUUCUCUACGUGCCUAAGCAUUGUAAUUUAGAUUUUGAUCUAGAAAAUUAAAAAUAAACGUCUAAGAGUUCCAUGCCAAAA
rnacentral:lncRNA from 1 species